AGCGGGGUAGAGGAAUUGGUCAACUCAUCAGGCUCAUGACCUGAAGAUUACAGGUUCGAAUCCUGUCCCCGCACCGCAGUU
rnacentral:tRNA from 1 species